rnacentral:rRNA from 1 species
GACGAAUGCUGGAUGCGUGCUUAACACAUGCAAGUCGAACGGUGAAGGGGGGCUUGCCCUCCGGAUCAGUGGCGAACGGGUGAGUAACACGUGGGCAACCUGCCCCUCACUCUGGGAUAACGCCGGGACACCGGCGCUCAUACCGGAUACGACCAGGCGCGACAUCUCGCCUGGUGGAUAGAAUUUCGGUGAGGGAUGGGCCCGCGGCCUAUCAGCUUGUGGGUGGGGUGACGGCCCACCAAGGCGACGACGGGUAGCCGGCCUGAGAGGGCGACCGGCCACACUGGGACUGAGACACGGCCCAGACUCCUACGGGAGGCAGCAGUGGGGAAUAUUGCGCAAUGGGCGAAAGCCUGACGCAGCGACGCAGCGUGAGGGACGAAGGCCUUCGGGUUGUAAACCUCUUUCAGCGGGGACGAAGCGAAAGUGACGGUACCCGCAGAAGAAGCACCGGCUAACUACGUGCCAGCAGCCGCGGUAAGAC